AAGUCGUAACAAGGUUUCCGUAGGUGAACCUGCGGAAGGAUCAUUAAAACAUAAUCCUUUUGGAUUUCAAAUCCGAAACCACAUACUGUGCACUGUAAACCGUUAGUUGCCCUUUGGUGUUUUUUUUUAUUGUCAGUACUCUGUUUCAUGCAACGCUUUGAAGUAGGUAUGCUGAUGAUAUCUAAGCAUCGGAGGGUAACAACCUUAUUCAAACUUUUACUUGUCAUUAUACAACAAUGUCUGAAGUCAAAACUUAUUUUUGGUUGAAAAGCUGAAAAUAUAAAAAAUUAAAAUUUAAAAAACAACUUUCAACAACGGAUCUCUUGGCUCCCA
rnacentral:misc_RNA from 1 species